rnacentral:rRNA from 1 species
CCCCUAGACGUUCUGGGCUGCACGCGCGCUACAAUAAUACGCACAGCGAGUAUCACCGAGCUCGAAAGGGCAAGGUAAACAAUAGAAAAGGUACUGUAAUGGUUAUAGAUCCUUGUAAUUAUUGAUCUUCAACGAGGAAUUCCUAGUAAGUAUGUGUCAUCAUCACGCACUGAUUACGUCCCUGCCCUUUGUACACACCGCCCGUCGCUCCUACCGAUUGGGUGAGCCGAUGAAACUCUCGGAUGUAGGCUAUUCAUAGCCCGCAGAAGAGGUUUGAAUCGUAGCGCUUAGAGGAAGGAGAAGUCGUAACA